rnacentral:rRNA from 1 species
AUUGAACGCUGGCGGCAGGCCUAACACAUGCAAGUCGAGCGGAUGAAGGGAGCUUGCUCCUGGAUUCAGCGGCGGACGGGUGAGUAAUGCCUAGGAAUCUGCCUGGUAGUGGGGUAUAACGUCCGGAAACGGGCGCUAAUACCGCAUACGUCCUGAGGGAGAAAGUGGGGGAUCUUCGGACCUCACGCUAUCAGAUGAGCUUAGGUCGGAUUAGCUAGUUGGUGGGGUAAAGGACUAGCAAGGCGACGAUCCGUAGCUGGUCUGAGAGGGUGAUCAGUCAGACGUGGACGGAGACACGGCCAAGACUCCGAAGGGAGGCAGCAGGGGGGAAUAGAGAACAGUGGGAGAAAGAAGGAUGCAGCGACGCCGCGGGAGGGAUGGUGGGCUGCGGGUGGUGAACUUCUUUCGCCAGGGAAGCAGGCCUGCCGCGUUUCUGGGUGGGUUGACGGUAGCUGGAGAAGAAGCGACGGCUAACUACGGG